AUAAAAUGGUAAUUAAAAAAAAAACCCUAAAAGUUAAAACUGCACAGCUCUAUACUAUUUUCCUCCUAUGCUUAAAAUUGAAAGUACGUUUUGAACUGCGAGAACUCACCUCCCUUUCAACUGGGUGGUUCAGAAAUCGCCACGAGGCCUGUCCAGUUCCAUUCUUAUGUAAAUAAUAUUAUAUUUUGCAGGUAGGAAGUGAAGGUAGAUACUUGAGACCCCAGAGAAGAUGUCAUGAGAGCUGCUAUUUCUAUAUGGCCAACAUUAUCAAAUAUCAAGAAAACCAGUACUGGUCCUACCUUCCAAUUUCAAUGGAUCCUCCAGUCUCCAAUCUCGAUUAACAAUGGACCACCCAGAAAGGCCAGUGAGGGCUUCAUCACUUAAACUGGAAAUGCUGCCACUUUUGAGACCCAAAACAAUUAGGGACAGAAAAUCUGCGUCAGCGGCCAUAGCAGCAGCCGCAGCAGGAGGAGGAGGAGUGCCUCUGCCACCACUUGAUUUAACAGAAGACAACAUUAGACAGGUCAUAGCUGAUGCUAGAGUCGAGGAAAGAAUCGUUUCUUGGACGCUAGUUUUACGAUAGUUAACUACUGAAUUCUUUCCUUGAUCAAAGAUUAUACACUUCACUGCAACUAUGCUUUAGUUUGAAGUCUGUCUGAAACAAGGCGUGUACAUUUGCACUUUGGACAGCUUUUUGACACUUCAGUUGGCAUGACAGGACAAGCUGAGCUUGCUGAAUUGGAUGGACCCUUUGUGAAGAUAAGCCUCAAAGGUCGAUUUUGGCAUAAACGUUCCACAGUUCUUGCGAGACUUGGCAAUUAUUUGAAGCAAAGAAUCCCUGAAAUUUUGGAGGUAGAUAUAGAAGACGAGAAACAAUUGGAUGAUAGCCCUGAGAAUUUUUGAGGUACUUGGUGUUGUCAGUAUCAGUGUUAUGCUUUGAUUAUUGUUUCAAAACGAGCAAUUUGAAGUGCCCAAAGCAACACUGUGGCCUUCAAGCAAGAUUGCUGGAAAAAAAAAGAGAGCAAAUUUGAAGUGCUUUCUUACAUGGACUCUGCAAAAAUGUCAAUGAGUUGUACUGUCAUAUGGUGGAAAUCAUACACAAACUUAUGGAGUACAAAAUUGAGCCAUCUACAUCAAAUGGGGUGAUAUGUGACAUAUUCAUUCUGGAAGUGUAAUACAAGCAAGGAAUCCACCAUAGAUCGCGUUAUGGAAAUUAUCCUGCACAUAUUCUUGUUAAGGUCUUGUUUGGUUUAAAUUGUUUAUUAUUUUUAGAAAGUUCACUUUUCACAAAUUUAUUAUCAUAUAUCUAUUUUUUUUUUAUUUUAAUGGGUGUGAAAUUUUUAAAUGGAAUCACAACUGAAAUCACAAAUAUAUAUCCAAAAUUUAAAAUACAUAAAAAAAAAAUCAGCAUGAAACUAAGGUGGAAAAGUUACAAAAUUCUCCAUUAGAAAAGAAAAAAGCCACCUAUCUUUUUAGGAGUAAAGGUUAUUUCAUUUUAAUUUUUUAAAAGGAGAUCAAUAAAUCUGCCCAAUCAUUGAUUUACUUUUACCAAUAAAUUUUAAUAAGAUUAUAUUUUGUUACAUUUAAUAUAACUUAAUUGGAAAUAAUUUAUGUUGACAUUUUCAGAACAUCAAAAGAAAGAAAGAAAGAAACCUAAAUAUAUCCUAUUAAUAACGAAAACGCCAGCUCCUGGCCCCAACAAGUUGAAGUAUGAUAGGGAAGAAUAUAGGGGAAGAGCCGGAGAGGAUAGCCUCAACCUCAAGCAUGGAAACGAGACCCAAUUCCAUAGAAGACUGGCCUUCGAGAGCAUGGAACCUACUCUCGAAACUCCGGGACCAAUCACCGCUUGUUCAGUGCAUCACCAACUUCGUUUCUAUGGAUUUGAUGGCCAACACUCUCCUAUCUGCUGGUGCAUCCCCGGCUAUGAUCCACUCCAUUGAAGAAAUUCCCGACUUCACCCCUCAUGCUCGUUCCCUCUGUAUCAACGUUGGCACUCUUUCCUCUGACUGGCUACCAGCCAUGAAAGCAGCCGUGGUGUUGGCCAAUAAAUUCGGGAAGCCUUGGGUUCUUGACCCCGUUGCAGCCGGAGCUUCCGGUUUCCGGUUGAACGCUUGUUUAGAGCUAGUGUGUAUGAAGCCCACCGUCAUUAGGGGAAAUGGGUCAGAGAUCAUCGCGUUAUCUAAGGCUUCUCUGGGCGACUCCAAGGUAUUUACUGUUUGAUAUCUGAUAUUUGCACUUACGAUUGUAUAGAUAUUAGGCAGCAGUAGCACUUAUAAGUGGGAUUCUUGCAAUUGUUCUCUAGGCUUCUAGCUUGUUAUAUGUUCAAUUUCAUAAAUGGCUUUCGUGUUUAAGGGUGUAGACAGCUUCCAUGAGUCAAUGGAUGCAGUGGAGGCAGCAAAGUCUUUGGCUAAAGCAAGUGGUGCCAUAGUUGCCGUUUCAGGUGCUGUUGAUAUCAUCACAGACUGAAGCCGAGUUGUUGGUGCUUAUAAUGGGUUACCCAUGAUGCAGAAAAUCACAGCAACAGGAUGUGCAGUCACAGCCCUCAUUGCAGCUUUUGUUGCGGUUGAUCCAUUACAUGCUUUGGAAGCAACAGCUUCAGCAUUGUCCAUACUUGGUAUUGCUGGUGAAUUGGGAAUGGACAUGGCCAAAGGACCAGCUUCACUGCGGAUGCACUUGAUUGAUUCCCUUUAUGGGCUUGAUCAAGCUGUUAGGCUUUCGCGUACUAAGAUUACCAGCUUGUAGUGACUAAUGAUCUAGUAGGAGCUGUGUACAAAUGGUAUGCCAACAACUAAUCUACUUUAUUUGUGUGUAGUGGUCAAAUUUUGAGGGGAUACGACUGAUCAAUCCAAAUAACCAAAUGAUCUAUUUGAUCAGAUAGUACUCGUUAAGCAAGUGAUGAUAUGAUGUGAUCAAUCCAUACCAUUUUGCAUCUUCGGUUUUUCAUCACACAUAAGUUUGUUCCAGAAAAAACUGAUUUUUUUUUUCUUUGCCAAGAACUUUUAUGAUAUCAGUUUUCCAAUCUAGAUUUCCCAUCAAAUUUAACUUUUUCCUCAUUUCUUGAAAUGAUUUUGUUUUCUGCUUACAAAGAAGAGUCUGUGCGUGAUGUUCUUCCUUGUGAAAAUAAAAAAGCAGCCAGCCAUUUGCUAUAUUCCAUUACCAGUUCUAUUGGAAACAUCUAAUACAUCUGGCAUCACAAUAGACUCAUUAACAAACAGAAAUUUGCAAACCUUGACCACACUCAUUUUGACACGAACAAUCCCACAUUUAAUCAGUUAUAUAACAUUCUUAGUAUUUUAGAUGGACAAUUAUCCUCAGUAAUGUUUCUGCACCAUCUGUGGUACGCUGGCCAGAUGGAAUGAGUCCUCUCACCUCCGCAAUUCCAACAGCAUUCUUAUACUUGCCUGUUCCUCCAGUCACUGACAAAUGUGACAUUGCACUCCCAAUCUUAUAUACGCCAUAGAAGUUGAGGCUGUCCCCAAAUUCUCCUCCUUCAAAGAUAGCUGUAAAUGCCAUCAUCUGUGUGCUCCCAUCUGCAGAACUAGCAAUGUAGACUCCUUGAGCUUUUCCCAAUUGCUGCGAACCAAGCUCAGGGCUGGUUGUCAAGACAUCGUCAAUGACAGUGAUCGUUCCAAAGCCUAGUCCCAACCCGUCAGGUCCCAGCUGGGUUUGAACUUGACCAUUUUGUCCUGCAAAAGCUGUACCAGCCAAGCCAGUUCCUAGUGGAAUGCCAUUGAUACCAUUAACAGUUGGAAUAGCGCCAUUGGCAUUAGGGAUUGCUACUGCACCUUCUGGGGGAAUAAAUCCUACUGGCUUGGCAAAGGGUACUUGGCCACUAUAAAUGUUUCCCAGCAAGCCGGUGAUUGGCCUGGCAGUGGGGUUACUGCCCCCAAGAAUGUCAUGCAUGUACAACUCAAGAACAGGCUCCUCACCAGCUGGUGCAGGGUCAGUAGCAGCCAAAUAUGUUGCCAUGUUUAUGGUAGCAAUCAGCACUGCAAUGAAAAUAGAUGGUGAUGGUUGGUUGAACAUCCUGUGAUUUCUGUAUUAGAGGUUCUUGAGGAUCCGCAACACCUGGAGAAUGAAAGAUCUUUAGAUGAGCAUGCAAGUGGCUGUGCACCUUGCUCUUUAUAUAGAAGUCAAGGAAGAACAAAGAUGGAGUAGGUGUGAGACUAUAAAGGCGGUGAAGUUGUUGGAGUUGCAUUAGUUAUGGAAAGUCUAAAUCAUUAUGUUAGGGGGAUAUCAUGGAGGAGUGGAGUCUGAUGUAUGAUACGUUUUGCCAAUUUCGUCAAAAUUUAACCAAUC
rnacentral:misc_RNA from 1 species